rnacentral:rRNA from 1 species
AACGAACGCUGGCGGCAGGCUUAACACAUGCAAGUCGAACGCCCCGCAAGGGGAGUGGCAGACGGGUGAGUAACGCGUGGGAAUCUACCCUGAACUGCGGGAUAGCUCCGGGCAACUGGAAUUAAUACCGCAUGUGCCCUGAGGGGCAAAGAUUUAUCGGUUCAGGAUGAGCCCGCGUCCGAUUAGCUAGUUGGUGGGGUAAAGGCCUACCAAGGCGACGAUCGGUAGCUUGUCUAAGAGGAUGAUCAGCCACAUUGGGACUGAGACACGGCCCAAACUCCUACGGGAGGCAGCAGUGGGGAAUAUUGGACAAUGGGCGCAAGCCUGAUCCAGCCAUGCCGCGUGAGUGAUGAAGGCCCUAGGGUUGUAAAGCGCUUUCAACGGGGACGAUAAUGACGGUACCCGGAGAAGAAGCCCCGGCUAACUUCGUG